rnacentral:rRNA from 1 species
UCCAGACUCCUACGGGAGGCAGCAGUGGGGAAUAUUGGGCAAUGGACGCAAGUCUGACCCAGCAACGCCGCGUGAAGGAAGAAGGCUUUCGGGUUGUAAACUUCUUUUAAGGGGGAAGAGCAGAAGACGGUACCCCUUGAAUAAGCCACGGCUAACUACGUGCCAGCAGCCGCGGUAAUACGUAGGUGGCAAGCGUUGUCCGGAUUUACUGGGUGUAAAGGGCGUGCAGCCGGGAAGACAAGUCAGAUGUGAAAUCCCGCGGCUCAACCGCGGAAGUGCAUUUGAAUCUGUUUUUCUUGAGUAUCGGAGAGGUAAUCGGAACUCCUAGUGUAGCGGUGAAAUGCGUAGAUAUUAGGCAGA